CGACCGGCGCACGGGUGAGUAACGCGUAUCCAACCUGCCCUUUACUAUGGGACAGCCCGUCAAAGGCGGAUUAAUACCGUAUGUUGUCAUGUUGAUGCAUAUUUUCAUGACCAAAGGCUUCGGCCGGUAAAGGAUGGGGAUGCGUCUGAUUAGCUUGCCGGCGGGGUAACGGCCCACCGUGGCGACGAUGCGUAGGGGUUCUGAGAGGAAGGCCCCCCACACUGGGACUGAGACACGGCCCAGACUCCUACGGGAGGCAGCAG
rnacentral:rRNA from 1 species